CCUACGGGAGGCAGCGGUGGGGGAUAUUGCACAAUGGGGGGAACCCUGAUGCAGCGACGCCGCGUGGGUGAAGAAGCGCCUCGGCGCGUAAAGCCCUGUCAGCAGGGAAGAAAAUGACGGUACCUGAUGAAGAAGCCCCGGCUAACUACGUGCCAGCAGCCGCGGUAAUACGUAGGGGGCAAGCGUUAUCCGGAUUUACUGGGUGUAACGGGGGCGCAGACGGCGAUGCAAGCCAGGCGUGAAAGCCCGGGGCCCAACCCCGGGACUGCUCUUGGAACUGCGUGGCUGGAGUGCAGGAGGGGCAGGCGGAAUUCCUGGUGUAGCGGUGAAAUGCGUAGAUAUCAGGAGGAACACCGGUGGCGAAGGCGGCCUGCUGGACUGCAACUGACGUUGAGGCCCGAAAGCGUGGGGAGCAAACAGGAUUAGAUACCCUUGUAGUC
rnacentral:rRNA from 1 species